GCGCACCUCGCAAACGGAGGGCGCCCUUACUCCCAGCAAAUGGGCGAUAGAUAGAAAACCGAUCGGUGCCUAUGCCAUACCCAAUAUGCGCUGGCUGAUGUCGGGGCAGCAUGAGUACGAGCAAUUUUUUUUUUUUUGCCGAUGCCCGUGAUGCCGCCCCCCACCACGAUGCAGCCCGUGUCGCCCGUAUCAAAAACCGCUACUGCCCAGCCAUGGCGGCCUACUGAGUGGUGGGCACACUUUCAUGCUCAUGCGGGAUGACUCCACGUAGCAAUCUACUGCAGGGUCCUCAGGAAGAUGUUUCAUCGUAAUAAAACGAUGUCCCAGACCCUCAACAGGAUGACCAAGCAUGUGAACAAAACUUCGCAUCAUUUCAUAUUCACACUUGCUGGGAAACAGGUGGUAGCCCAAGUAGAGAAAAGCUGCGACAGAACCAAGAGCCCACAUGUCUGCCGAUUCAGUCACAGGUGGCCCUGUGACUUUACUGACACAGAGGUCGACGCCGAAGACCUGAUGGCAAAGAAUAUAGUAGCAUUUUCUGAGAACAAGGAGUCAGCGACUGAGUGGAUCUCUCAUGAAGGGAAAACCAUGUGGGUCCCACUACUGAAGAGAGACUGCUUUAAAAUCCAGUGCCCAUGGCCCACCCUAUAUGCAGUUCUAUGCGUUAGCAGCCUGAGAUCUACCUUUGACUUCUUUAUAACAUACUUUUUUUAAAAAAUAAUAUAUAAUAUUAUUAUAAAGUAAAAAAGGGAAAGGGGUUCACCUUGGCACAGAAACUCCUCAGAUGAAAACUGGCUCUUGUUGGCACAAUCAGGGGAAACAACGCAAAGCUACCUCCCCAGCUUGUCCAGUGUGAAUGACCUAGGCAGGAUGUUGGCACCUUGAGUUGUUGAAGGAAAACUAGCUGCUGGCUGCUAGCUUUUUUCUACAAUCUCCUGGAUGUCUUGGAAUAUAAUGCCUUUGUCCCGUGGAAACCACUUCACAAGAGUGGGAGUCCUUUAAAAUCUACAAAUGAAGAGUGAUCCUAGAAGAGCUGGGGUGCAUGCUGGUGACCUCAGCAGCUGCAAGAUAGCUUUGUCCCCGAUGCUUAUCAGUCGCUUCUGCCACUGAUCCCAAGAUACAGUAGUCUGAAUCAGAGUGUGACCCACAGCCCACCAACAAAAUGAGAAAAAGGUGCACCUGUAGGAUUAGAACAGCAGUCACUUUCUCCAGCUGUGGAAAUGUGCCUACAAAGACCACUCUACUGUGGUUAGCACAUAUUACUGCUAAUGAGGAUGCACACACACACUGAAAUACAAAUUUUGCUCAUUGUAGUGGUCGUUUGGUCAUUAAAUGGCCAUAUCUGGCCACUAACACGCUA